CACUCUGUCCCCCGCGCCGCUUGCCGAGGCCACUCAUCGGGUCACCUCCGCCGGGGGCGCCCGCCAGCACGGGCAUGAUUCUGCAUUUUUUCCUGACAGGCUAGGUGUGGAGCCGCCCUCCGCAGCCCACCCCGGCCCAGGUGAUGCUCAGACUGAGGAGUCGGGGGCGCGCCGGCCAGGGCGGGCGGCGGGCUUGGGGACUGCCACUGCCCUGAUAGAGCGGGGCUUUUCCGCUUACGCACGGCCGCGUCGAAACCGCGGCAUCCAAAUGUCUUCAGCAUUAAGAUGCCAGGCCUCGGGUGUGUGAGGAAACCGAGAUGCAGGAGAGGGCGAGAAGAAAGGAGGCCGGGAGACCCUGGGGCCUGGGAAGUGAGGGGAGGGGUACCGGGAAAACCGCGGCUGGCAGUGCAAACCCUAGCGCGAUGUGUGGAGUGGAGAGCGCUCUUGGGAGCCGGCAGGAGCCUCUGAGGACGCGGGGGCCAAGGGCCCCAUCCCUUGCCCUCCCUUCUUCCCUCCCUUUCUCACUCCCCACCCUACCCCCACCUAGGAUGUGGCUGGGCCGCCGGGCCCUGUGCGCUCUGGUCCUUCUGCUCGCCUGCGCCUCGCUGGGGCUCCUGUACGCGAGCACCCGGGACGCGCCCGGCCUCCGGCUACCUCUUGCGCCGUGGGCGCCCCCGCAAAGCCCCCGCAGGCCCGAGCUGCCAGAUCUUGCUCCUGAGCCCCGCUACGCACACAUCCCGGUCAGGAUCAAGGAGCAAGUAGUGGGGCUGCUGGCUUGGAACAACUGCAGUUGUGAGUCCAGUGGGGGGGGCCUCCCCCUCCCCUUCCAGAAACAAGUCCGAGCUAUUGACCUCACCAAGGCCUUUGACCCUGCAGAGCUGAGGGCUGCCUCUGCCACAAGAGAGCAGGAGUUCCAGGCCUUUCUGUCGAGGUACCAGCUUGAAAGAAGCGCAUGACUCCUCAGGGGGAGAGCAGUGAUUGUGCCGGGAGGGAGAGACCCUCU
rnacentral:lncRNA from 1 species